AUUGAACGCUGGCGGCAUGCUUUACACAUGCAAGUCGAACGGUAGAGGGGGCAACCCCUUGAGAGUGGCGAACGGGUGAGUAAUGCAUCGGAACGUGCCCAGUCGUGGGGGAUAACGCAGCGAAAGCUGUGCUAAUACCGCAUACGAUCUCUGGAUGAAAGCGGGGGACCGAAAGGCCUCGCGCGAUUGGAGCGGCCGAUGUCAGAUUAGGUAGUUGGUGGGGUAAAGGCUCACCAAGCCAACGAUCUGUAGCUGGUCUGAGAGGACGACCAGCCACACUGGGACUGAGACACGGCCCAGACUCCUCCGGGAGGCAGCAGUGGGGAAUUUUGGACAAUGGGCGCAAGCCUGAUCCAGCAAUGCCGCGUGCAGGAAGAAGGCCUUCGGGUUGUAAACUGCUUUUGUACGGAACGAAAAGGUCUGGGUUAAUACCCUGGGCACAUGACGGUACCGUAAGAAUAAGCACCGGCUAACUACGUGCCAGCCGCCGCGGUAAUAC
rnacentral:rRNA from 1 species